GGAGCAGGGACAGGAGAGAGGCCUUUUGAUAAAGUAAUCUGUGAAAGAAGGGAGGGGAGAUUGGAAAGGGCACUGGAUUCAGGCAGGCCCUGUAGGAUCAGAUUUGGUUGGAUCAGGUGAGGGCACAUAAGUAUAGAGGGUGGCUCACAGAGAGGCCUGUCAUGGCAGGGACUGUUUUUAGAGGUUCAUGUUCCCAGUGCAGAGCACUGUCCUCUAUUUCUCUGCUCUCUAUCCAACGCUAUUCCUCAUCCUGCUGUGGCAAUGUUUCUGCCCAGGCUCCCCUUGAAAGCUGCCAGCUGAGUGUGGAGAAAAAGGCCAAAGGGAAAGUUAGGGUUUUGGGGGAUUGGAGGGCAGGGACAAAUUCUGUGGGUGGUGGCAAGAUUAGAGACAUUGGAGAAGCAGGAACCUAAGCCCUUGUUCUGUGUGUGUGCAAUUGUGUGUAUACAGGGUGUGUACAUGUGUGGGUGUGUGCACAAUGCCUAUGUUACGGGUCUGUGUAGGUGGCUGUGAUGUGUGUGCAUGCGUGUAUACAUCGUGCAGGGGAUGGGACGUGGAGACCCAGCAACUCAGUGUAUGCUUUUCAGGUUUGCUCUGUGAAUGUGUAAGACUGUGUUCUGUGUUCUCUGUACAUGUUGCUGCAUAUAGCACUAAUAACAGGAUGUCCUGUGUUUCUGUCACUCUGCCUGCCUUUCCUCUGUGUUUCUCUUAUUCUUUUCUUUGCAGUAAUGAGAGUGUUUGUAAGCAUGUGUCUAUGUGGCCUUCAUGUACCUGUGACUUAAGUGUGAGUUCAUAGGUUUUAGCUCCUGGUGAUAUGUAUAAGGUUAUAUUAUCUCCAAGAAUCAAGCAAACCAGGUACCAAAUUCUUUUUUCUUCUGGUAAUGCUUUGGUUCCAAAGCAGAAUUUUAGUGGAUUCAAAGUUAGACUUUAUGCCUUUAUUAGAGGAGCUCGUAUGUAAAAAUAAUGGCUGAGCUAGGUUCCCUGAAAUGAAAAUGGGGCAGCUCUACCUUGAAAAGCUGAGAAAUGUGACUAGGAGGAAGAUAUUUGGCCCUGGGAUGCACUGUGUAGUGUAUAACAGAAAGAUAAUGCAUUUGCUCCUUGGUAGCAAUCAUGGAUGCCGGUGUUGGAGGCAGGGAAGAACUGGGGAAGGAGAAGGAGGUUGUCCUGAGACAGAGUGGAUGUGAUUGCGCUUUUCAUGUGAAUGAAGGAUUUUGUCCUUUGGGAAUAUGGGGGAAACCUUUAUGUGGUUGGGAUCAUAGUGUAUGUAUUGUACAGGGAUGGAAUAUGGUGUAUUCAAGUAUGUGUCCCAGGGGUUAAACUGGUAUUCUCCUAUGUGGGGGACAUGUGUAUGUCUUCAGGUUCAUGUCCAUUUCUGUAAUGUGCGCUUGCAUGAUUGCCCAGAAGACUCAGGCCACAAAACCCACAUUAGUGGCUCACAUGUGGGUGUUUUGGUUCAAGUAUGUACACCACUGUUGCAGUGUUCACACAUGUGUAAGCAUGUAGGGUGUGUGGGCCUCAAAGUCUGAGAAUAUGGACCUGUGCUCACAGCUGUCUGUAUGUCUCAUAAGCACAUAGAUCCUUAUUUAUUUUUGUAUUGUGGUUCUGAUAUACACAUACCCCCACAGCUCAGUGUAUGUUUCUGUGUUCUACACGUGUUCCUGAGGGACUGAUAGGGACCUUGUAUGAUGGGAUCCAGAUUUUGUGUGCAAACCUCUAAUGCUUGGGUUUUACAGGUAAAGGGAAGCUAGGGACUGAUUCUAGGGCAACUUGGGGGCAAUUUGCACUUCUGGAAGCAGACAGUGGAAAUGUAGUAUGGCCCUCUUUUGUUUUGUUCUGGAACCUUGAGGGUUAACAGGCAGCUCUUCCGGUCCACCUCCCCUCCAGCCUGUAGCUUCUUGUUGCCGUGGAGAUGGUGGCCCCGCCCCUGAUGCAGCACCUGCCCCCCCAUUGGCUGCAGUGGUGACUGUGGGGCUGAGGGGGGAGCCCAGGCCUGGGCAGCCAUUCUGGAGCUGAAGCCGGAGCUUGGCAUCCCCCCCCACUUUCAUUCUCCUCCAGCCCCUUGGCCCCUCUAAAUUCCCUGGCAGCAGAGCCUCAGCUUCCCUCUUUGGAUCUGCCAUCCCUCUAGGCUCUUGGCAGGCUGAGCUUCAUCCGCAUUCACCUCCCCUCCUCCUCCUCUCCUAAACCUUAGUUGGGAGUCCCCAGCACCCCCUAAUCCUCCCCACUCCCUGCCCACUCCCCUGCAUUCUUUUCUUUUCUUCUUCCCCCUUCCCUUCUAAGUCCCUGCCACUGCAGUGCACGUGGAACCGGCUCCUUUCUCCCCACCCCCCCAUCUGCCUCUUAGAUUUUCUCUCUCCAGCUUCUCCCCCAGCCACUCCUCACAGGUCCCUUCUAAGACUUCCCCCUCCGUCCAGGGAGGGGGUCAUGGGAGGCAGCCCUGGCCCUCCAGACCAACAGGGGUCUGGGAGGUGCAGGGCAGGUAGAAGAUGUCCCCAGAGAGAAGGGGAAAGCCAGCCUAUGGGCAAUGACCUUUAACCCAUCUUUCCCCCCCAGCUAGCCC
rnacentral:lncRNA from 1 species